GGCUUCGUAGCUCAAUUGAAUAGAGCGUCAGAUUCCGGUUCUGAAGGUUCAGGGUUUGAGCCCCUGCGAAGUCA
rnacentral:tRNA from 1 species